UACGUAGGCAGCAAGCGUUGUUCGGAGUUACUGGGCGUAAAGAGCUCGUAGGCGGUUUGUCGCGUCUGCUGUGAAAACCCGAGGCUCAACCUCGGGCCUGCAGUGGGUACGGGCAGACUAGAGUGUGGUAGGGGAGAUUGGAAUUCCUGGUGUAGCGGUGGAAUGCGCAGAUAUCAGGAGGAACACCAAUGGCGAAGGCAGAUCUCUGGGCCGUAACUGACGCUGAGGAGCGAAAGCAUGGGGAGCGAACAGG
rnacentral:rRNA from 1 species